GUCGUGCACGCCCGGAGUGCUCUCUCACAUCCAUCUCACCCCUUUGUGCAUCAUCGCGUGGGGCCCUCUCCUUUGGCUUGUUCCGGAAGGGGGGGGGUUCACGUUUUUACACGAACAACCCAUUAAUGCAUGUGUAGAAUGUCUUACUUUUUGCGGUCACACGCAAUCAAUACAACUUUCAACAACGGAUCUCUUGGCUCUCGCAUCGAUGAARAACGCAGCGAAAUGCGAUACGUAAUGUGAAUUGCAGAAUUCAGUGAAUCAUCGAAUCUUUGAACGCACCUUGCGCCCCUUGGUAUUCCGAGGGGUGCACCCGUUUGAGUGUCGUGAACACCCUCAACCUUCUUGGUUUAUCGACCGGGAAGGCUUGGACUUUGGAGGUUUUUGUUGCUGGCCUCGUUUGAAGCCAGCUCCUCCUAAACGAAUUAGUGGGGUCCGCCGUGCCGACCCUCGACGUGAUAAGUAUGCUUCUACGUCUUGGGGUUUCGCACUGUYGCCUGCUUCCAACCGUCUUCGAAUGAAGACAAUCUUAUAGACCUUGACCUCAAAUCGGGUGAGACUACCCGCUGAACUUAAGCAUAUCAAUAA
rnacentral:rRNA from 1 species